rnacentral:rRNA from 1 species
CGGAGGAUCCAAGCGUUAUCCGGAUUUAUUGGGUUUAAAGGGUGCGUAGGCGGCUUAUUAAGUCAGGGGUGAAAGACGGUGGCUCAACCAUCGCAGUGCCCUUGAUACUGAUGAGCUUGAAUACACUAGAGGUAGGCGGAAUGUGACAAGUAGCGGUGAAAUGCAUAGAUAUGUCACAGAACACCGAUUGCGAAGGCAGCUUACUAUGGUGUUAUUGACGCUGAGGCACGAAAGCGUGGGGAUCAAACAGGAUUAGAUACCCUGGUAGUCCACGCCCUAAACGAUGAAUACUCGCUGUUAGCGAUAUACAGUUAGCGGCUAAGCGAAAGCGUUAAGUAUUCCACCUGGGGAGUACGCCCGCAAGGGUG